rnacentral:rRNA from 1 species
GACAGAGGCCCCAAGCGUUAGGCGGAAUCACUGGGCUUAAAGCGUGUGUAGGCGGAUCGUUAAGUGUCUUGUGAAAUCCCACGGCUCACCCGUGGAACUGCUGGGCAUACUGGCGAUCUUGGGCCAACUAGGGGCGACUGGAACAAGCGGUGGAGCGGUGAAAUGCGUAGAUAUCGCUUGGAACGCCAAAGGUGAAAACAGGUCGCUGGGGUUGUGCCGACGCUGAGACACGAAAGCCAGGGGAGCAAACGGG